UACGUAGGUGGCAAGCGUUGUCCGGAUUUAUUGGGUUUAAAGGGUGCGUGGGCGGCUUGAUAAGUCAGUGGUGAAAGCCGAUCGCUUAACGAUCGAACUGCCAUUGAUACUGCCAGGCUUGAGUAUAGUUGAGGUAGGCGGAAUUGACAGUGUAGCGGUGAAAUGCAUAGAUAUUGUCAAGAACACCAAUUGCGAAGGCAGCUUACUAAAGUUUAACUGACGUUGAGGCACGAAAGUGCGGGGAUCAAACAGG
rnacentral:rRNA from 1 species